GAUGAACGCUGGCGGCGUGCCUAACACAUGCAAGUCGAACGGAGAUUACGGACGGAAGUUUUCGGAUGGAAGCCUGUAAUUCUUAGUGGCGGACGGGUGAGUAACGCGUGGGCAACCUGCCCUAUACAGGGGGAUAGCAGCUGGAAACGGCUGGUAAGACCGCAUAAGUCGGUUAAAUCGCAUGAUUUGAUCGGGAAAUGAGCAAUCAGGUAUAGGAUGGGCCCGCGUCCGAUUAGCCAGUUGGCAGGGUAAAAGCCUACCAAAGCGACGAUCGGUAGCCGGACUGAGAGGUCGGACGGCCACAUUGGGACUGAGACACGGCCCAAACUCCUACGGGAGGCAGCAGUGGGGGAUAUUGCACAAUGGAGGAAACUCUGAUGCAGCGACGCCGCGUGAGUGAAGAAGUAUUUCGGUAUGUAAAGCCCUAUCAGCAGGGAAGAUGAUGACGGUACCUGACGAAGAAGCCCCGGCUAACUACGUG
rnacentral:rRNA from 1 species